CGCGAAAACUUUACAAUGCGGGAAACCGUGAUAAGGGGACACCGAGUGCCAGCAUCAUAUGCUGGCUGUCCGGGUGUGUAAAAUACACCUGUUAGCAAGGGCCGGGCAAGACCGGUGCCAGCCGCCGCGGUAACACCGGCGGCCCGAGUGGUGAUCGUGAUUAUUGGGUCUAAAGGGUCCGUAGCCGGUUUGGUCAGUCCUCCGGGAAAUCUGAUAGCUCAACUAUUAGGCUUUCGGGGGAUACUGCCAGGCUUGGAACCGGGAGAGGUAAGAGGUACUACAGGGGUAGGAGUGAAAUCUUGUAAUCCCUGUGGGACCACCUGUGGCGAAGGCGUCUUACCAGAACGGGUUCGACGGUGAGGGACGAAAGCUGGGGGCACGAACCGGAUUAGAUACCCGGGUAGUCCCAGCCGUAAACGAUGCUCGCUAGGUGUCAGGCAUGGCGCGACCGUGUCUGGUGCCGCAGGGAAGCCG
rnacentral:rRNA from 1 species